CAUCCAUUUCUACAACGUUCCACGACUGAAGCCGAAUAUAUCCGAGAGAAAUCGGGAAAGGUGUCCGCCUAGCUAACGUUGCAGUACACUGAGGACGGAUCAACACAGGAAGGAGACACGGCGGAAAUUAACGAAAGAACACGACGUAAUACGAAAUGACGCGCUUCACAUUUAACAGGAUUCAUGCGCGAUUCAGUGUGCUAAUUGUAAUACAGUAUGGUACCGGUGGCAGGGUGAGCCCAAUGACAAUGGAAGAAAUGAAGACUGUGCUAUAACUGGACACAGGUUUGCCACUGACAACGUAUCGUCCUGGGUUGCUUAUCCCUAUGAAUUCCCAAUAGCUGGAAUCUGUGAGAAAAUGUUAAACUGAGUCAGAAUAAAUGGCAGAAACUGUGGUUGAAAAUUUGGUAUGUUAUCUAUCUUUGUCUAUUAGGUAUCCUGUAAUUUAAACUUUACAAUACUCUAGCAAAUGUGUUUAAGGAUAGCACAUCAGUGAAUGCAGUUGUUCAAAAACUUGUUUUGAACAUCACUAAUACAUCUGAGUCUGUAGCAUCUGUUCUUUCAAAGCCCGAGUCAAAACUUAGCGUUUCAUACAAUACUAUCAAAACUCACAUAUAUGAAAGUGAUUCUCUCAACUAUAUGUAAAAUAUUUUGCUCAUAUUUCAGAAU